rnacentral:piRNA from 1 species
GUGCAGAUGGCUGGCCUUGAACUUGUGG